rnacentral:rRNA from 1 species
CUGGCUCAGGAUGAACGCUGGCGGCGUGCCUAACACAUGCAAGUCGAACGGACCUAUCAUUUAACAGAGACUUCGGUUGAGGUUGGUUUUAGGUUAGUGGCGGACGGGUGAGUAACGCGUGGAGAACCUGCCCUGUACUGGGGGAUAACAGUGAGAAAUCACUGCUAAUACCGCAUAAGCGCACGAAACCGCAUGGUUUUUGUGUGAAAAACUCCGGUGGUACAGGAUGGCUCCGCGUUGGAUUAGCCAGUUGGCGGGGUAACGGCCCACCAAAGCUACGAUCCAUAGCCGGCCUGAGAGGGUGAACGGCCACAUUGGGACUGAGACACGGCCCAGACUCCUACGGGAGGCAGCAGUGGGGAAUAUUGCACAAUGGGGGAAACCCUGAUGCAGCGACGCCGCGUGAAGGAAGAAGUAUCUCGGUAUGUAAACUUCUAUCAGCAGGGAAGAAAAUGACGGUACCUGACUAAGAAGCCCCGGCUAACUACGUGCCAGCCGCCGC